UGGCCUCAUCACCUUGAAACACCAGUUCCUGUAUGAUCACUGAAGUUAAGUAACAUUGAGCCUGGUCAGUAACUAGAUGGGUGAUUACUUGGGUAUACCAGGUGCUGUAA